ACCAGACUCCUACGGGAGGCAGCAGUGGGGGAUAUUGCACAAUGGGGGGAACCCUGAUCCAGCGACGCCGCGUGAGUGAAGAAGUAUUUCGGUAUGUAAAGCUCUAUCAGCAGGGAAGAAAGAAAUGACGGUACCUGACUAAGAAGCCCCGGCUAACUACGUGCCAGCAGCCGCGGUAAUACGUAGGGGGCAAGCGUUAUCCGGAUUUACUGGGUGUAAAGGGGGCGCAGACGGCAGCGCAAGCCAGGAGUGAAAGCCCGGGGCCCAACCCCGGGACUGCUCUUGGAACUGCGCGGCUGGAGUGCAGGAGGGGCAGGCGGAAUUCCUGGUGUAGCGGUGAAAUGCGUAGAUAUCAGGAGGAACACCGGUGGCGAAGGCGGCCUGCUGGACUGCGACUGACGUUGAGGCCCGAAAGCGUGGGGAGCAAACAGGAUUAGAUACCCUGGUA
rnacentral:rRNA from 1 species